rnacentral:hammerhead_ribozyme from 1 species
GUACUGCUGAAGAGUCCCAAACUAGGACGAAACAGCUAUCCAGUGC